CUUCCCGUUCCAUGGCUACUACUACUUCCGGGUCAGCUUCGCUCCAUGCAAUGACAUUGUAACCAAAUAUUUACGAAAUCAAACACGGGGAGUGUGUCUGUGCACGUUUUUUUGCUAUUCAUGCUAUGAAUUUGUACCAGACAUUUACGAAAUCUAUACGGGGAGUGUGUCUGUGCCAUUUGUUGAUAUACAUGCUCUGAAAUACAAAAGUUUGACCGACAUAGUUUUACAAUAUGACACCAAUGUCUACGGGAUUCACAGAUGAGCGACAGGGCGAAGCACAGAGUCCUGUAGGAAUGGAUUAUAUCCCCACAGAAGAUGAGAGGAGAGUCUUCAGAGAAUGCAACCAGGAGAGUUUCUGGUACAGAUCUGUGCCCUUCUCAGUGGUCAGCAUGCUUGUCACUCAAGGCCUCAUCCAUAAAGGAGCCCUGACGUUGUCGUCCAGGUUUGGAUCUCUCCCUAAAGUGGCCUUUGCGGGGCUGUGACCCAACGCACAGGCUACCUGGCAGGGAAGAUGUCCUACAUGAAACAUUGUCAGGAGAAGUUCAAGAGGCUGGAGCACUCCCCUCUGGGAGAAGCACUGAGACAGAGGACCAGACCCAACGCACAGUCAUCUCAGGGCCCCCAGUCAGAGAUGAGUGACCCCGACCAGGUGACCUUUGACCCCAUGUUCCAGGCCUCUGACCCCCAGAGCCAGGUCCCACCCAACGCCAGAGACUAUGGAUACAGUGACGCCCCCACCGCGGCACAGACCAGCCGCACCGCUGCAGACGUAGACUACAACAUGCCAGCCCAGUCGUUCCUGGAUGAUGAGGAGCCCAGGAGGAAGCCCAUCAUGUACGAGGACCUAAGGAACAAGAACCGAGAAACCUAUGAGGUCACGCUUACCCAGAAGGCUGAGACGCUGCUCAAACCAGAGUCUGACCGGCCAGGGAGGACCGCCCCCAAGAAGGACGCAGGGAAGAAGAACGUCUACGGAGACAGUUUGGAGAAGUGAGUCUCUCCAUCUGUUAUCACUGACAGUGCUGAUUGGACUACAAUACCCAUAAACCCCUUCUGGUUGCUGCUAUUAUUUACGUCUCAAUUUAUGAAUUUAUGGGAUAAUCUCAAUUGCAUUUCCUUGAUUCCUUGCGUCC